GCCGAAAGGCGGGGGUGCCCGCAAGGGAGCGCGGAGACAGGUGGUGCAUGGCUGUCGUCAGCUCGUGUCGUGAGAUGUUGGGUUAAGUCCCGCAACGAGCGCAACCCUCACCCCUUGUUGCCACCAGGUUAUGCUGGGCACUCUAGAAGAACUGCCCCGAUCAACGGGGAAGAAAGCGGGAACGACGUCAAGUCAUCAUACCCCUUACGUCCUGGGCUACACACGUGCUACAAUGGCCGGUACAGAGGGAUGCAAGACCGCGAGGUGGAGCUAAACCCAAAAAGCCGAUCUAAGUUCAGAUUGGAGUCUGCAACUCGACUCCAUGAAGGAGGAAUCGCUAAUAAUCGCGUAUCAGCACAACGCGGUGAAUACGUUCCCGGGCCUUGUACACACCGCCCAUCACACCACGAAAGCCAAUUGUACUCGAAGUCGCUGAG
rnacentral:rRNA from 1 species